rnacentral:rRNA from 1 species
CGGCGGACGGGUGAGUAACGCGUGGGUAACCUGCCUCAUACAGGGGGAUAACAGUUGGAAACGGCUGCUAAUACCGCAUAAGCGCACAGUACCGCAUGGUACCGUGUGAAAAACUCCGGUGGUAUGAGAUGGACCCGCGUCUGAUUAGCUAGUUGGUGGGGUAACGGCCUACCAAGCCGACGAUCAGUAGCCGACCUGAGAGGGUGACCGGCCACAUUGGGACUGAGACACGGCCCAG